rnacentral:rRNA from 1 species
CAGUCGCCACGGGAAUACAGAGGGUGCGAGCGUUAAUCGGAUUUACUGGGCGUAAAGCGUGCGUAGGCGGCUUUUUAAGUCGGAUGUGAAAUCCCUGAGCUUAACUUAGGAAUUGCAUUCGAUACUGGGAAGCUAGAGUAUGGGAGAGGAUGGUAGAAUUCCAGGUGUAGCGGUGAAAUGCGUAGAGAUCUGGAGGAAUACCGAUGGCGAAGCCAGCCAUCUGGCCUAAUACUGACGCUGAGGUACGAAAGCAUGGGGAGCAAACAGGAUUAGAUACCCCCGUAGUCCCUGUCUCUUAUAC